rnacentral:lncRNA from 1 species
GAAGAAACUCACCUUUUUAUCAAUACAUUUAAAUGAUUUAAUGAAUAAACACUUUUAAAACUGUUUGUUUCUAUUUACAUAGAUAUAGGAAGAAGUGGUGUGAGUGUCAAUGAGACAACUCUCCAUCCAAAAACAUUUAUAAAAGAAAACCAUGAUUAUAGAUCAAUGUACAGCCUUCAACACAGAGCCUUGGCCCAAACUGAACAACAAGCUAUAUAAAGGAUCCC